ACUGACAGGGCCAGCGAGUACAUCACCUUGGCCGAGAGGUCUGGGUAAUCUUGUUAAACCCUGUCGUGCUGGGGAUAGAGCAUUGCAAUUAUUGCUCUUCAAC
rfam:Talaromyces islandicus isolate WF-38-12 genome assembly, contig: WF-38-12_scaffold00004